rnacentral:tRNA from 1 species
AAGAAAAAUUAAGAAAAGCUGCUAACUAAUUCUUGAGUAUCUAAAAGUACUUUUUUCUUA